UCCAGACUCCUACGGGAGGCAGCAGUGGGGGAUAUUGCACAAUGGGGGAAACCCUGAUGCAGCGACGCCGCGUGUGGGAAGACGGUCCUCUGGAUUGUAAACCACUGUCCCCAGGGACGAAGAUGACGGUACCUGGGGAGGAAGCCCCGGCUAACUACGUGCCAGCAGCCGCGGUAAUACGUAGGGGGCAAGCGUUAUCCGGAAUCACUGGGUGUAAAGGGAGCGUAGACGGCUGUGCAAGCCUGAAGUGAAAGGCGGGGGCCCAACCCCUGGACUGCUUUGGGAACUGUACGGCUGGAGUGCAGGAGAGGUAAGUGGAAUUCCUAGUGUAGCGGUGAAAUGCGUAGAUAUUAGGAGGAACACCAGUGGCGAAGGCGGCUUACUGGACUGUAACUGACGUUGAGGCUCGAAAGCGUGGGGAGCAAACAGGAUUAGAUACCCGUGUA
rnacentral:rRNA from 1 species